CAAGUUACUUGUUACCAAUGUGAAGUCAUAAAUUUUUAUUUCAUUCAUUUUAUUUACAUCUUAUUUAUUAUGUUACCCUUUUUGAUACUUUAAAUGCAAAUAUAUUUAAAUAUUUACAUUUCAAUGGCUCAUCUAGGGACCCUGGCCUCAGAGCCAUCAUCUCGGAUCCUCACGGUGUUAAUCCUUCCCAGAGAAACGCAGGAAGUGAGUUCCUUCUCGCUACGGAGGGGAGAUCUGUGCAGACUUAGAGAAGUCGCACAGAUCAAUUAACGGGAACCUUCCUUACUCAGCUGUGGCCCUGUGGCAUUGGCACAUUGCCCCAGCCUGGAGGUGUGGAGGAAGUGAGUAGGAGAUUGCUGGCUCCCUGGACACUGGCCUGCGUCACCCGAGGCCACACACCACAGGGGGAGGGCUGCUGUCCCCGUCAGUCAGGUCCGGAAAUAGAUCUGAGAAAGGACAGUCAGAACCCGACCCUGCACGGUUCCCAAGGUGAAACAGCGCGCUGCGUGAUACUCCAGGACACGGGCGUGCCUUUUCGUAUUCCCCCACGGAAUCUGAGAAAGGAUCAUGAAAGCUGCAAAAACGUGCACUUUCGUACUCCGCAGGAGGGGCCGAGGACUAACGCCGACCAGGAAUUUACGAUGACCUCAGUGGGAGCCGCUUGUCUAGCGCACCCGUUGGUAACUGGGAGACCCUCCUUCCUUUUGAGAACUCUUGUGACACCUUACCUAUUAUUUUUAGCUUUGCCAAGAAGAGGAGUACGAUUAAGGGAUGUGGCCAGAAGGAAGAAAUAAAAUUUUACUUCCAGGA